rnacentral:rRNA from 1 species
AUUGAACGCUGGCGGCAUGCCUUACACAUGCAAGUCGAACGGUAACAGGUCUUCGGAUGCUGACGAGUGGCGAACGGGUGAGUAAUACAUCGGAACGUGCCCGAUCGUGGGGGAUAACGAAGCGAAAGCUUUGCUAAUACAGCAUAAGAUCUACGGAUGAAAGCAGGGGACCGCAAGGCCUUGCGCGAACGGAGCGGCAGAUGGCAGAUGAGGUAGUUGGUGGGAUAAAAGCUUACCAAGCCGACGAUCUGUAGCUGGUCUGAGAGGACGACCAGCCACACUGGGACUGAGACACGGCCCAGACUCCUACGGGAGGCAGCAGUGGGGAAUUUUGGACAAUGGGCGAAAGCCUGAUCCAGCCAUGCCGCGUGCAGGAUGAAGGCCUUCGGGUUGUAAACUGCUUUUGUACGGAACGAAAAGACUCUUUCUAAUAAAGAGGGUCCAUGACGGUACCGUAAGAAUAAGCACCGGCUAACUACGUGCCAGCAGCCGCCGUAAAAC